CGGACGGGUGAGUAAUGUCUGGGAAACUGCCUGAUGGAGGGGGAUAACUACUGGAAACGGUAGCUAGUACCGCAUAACGUCGCAAGACCAAAGAGGGGGACCUUCGGGCCUCUUGCCAUCGGAUGUGCCCAGAUGGGAUUAGCUAGUAGGUGGGGUAACGGCUCACCUAGGCGACGAUCCCUAGCUGGUCUGAGAGGAUGACCAGCCACACUGGAACUGAGACACGGUCCAG
rnacentral:rRNA from 1 species